CUAUCAGAUUUCUUCGUACAUCUCAUCACUUAAUAGCACACCUCUCCUAAACAAGUCUCAUGGUGUAUCAUUCAUAUCCGUUUCACAAAUGGUGGAAGGUGAAUUGCACACCAAAGUUUAAUACUUACGGUUAGGAGUUUGUUUAAAUCUCUAACUCUGACCUUCAGAGAGGGAAACACUCUACUCUAGCAGAGAGCAGAAAUGCUUGGCAUACAGCAGACAAAAGGGUGGGACUGGCAGGAAAAGCAGCGAUGAGUAAAGCUCAUGUUCUCCUUUAUGAGCCCCUCAUCUAACGGCCGCAUUUGAUUACAGUAAGGCUCAGAGUUGAGGAACUUUUUACAGGAUUACUGCCAGUUUCCUCCAGCACACACACACACGCACGCACACACAGAGGCAUUCACUGCUGGAUGCUGGACCGUCUCUGUGAAACCGGAGUGGGGUGAAGCUUUAAUGAGCGGUAUGAGGGGAUGAUGUUGAAGACUGGCCGAGUCAGUCAGGGGAAACAGUGGGGAGUCUCCUUCGGAUCGUACAAUCCACUCUCGUUUGCCUCUGUUAUGCAGUCCAUUAUGUUUUGAUCCCAGUGAAGCCUGAAGAGGCAAUAAAAAGCCUAAUAACUGCACUAGACUCCACGGCUAUCCUCUUGGCAGAGAUUGCUGGAUAUUUCAGAAGAGCAAGGAGGAACAUUAAGACUGGAGAAUUACAGUUCUUCUUUGGAGUUUGUGAGGCUUUUGGACUCACAUCUCACCAGACUGCACUUUACUUUGCAAGAAUUAGAUGCAAUCUGUUUGAUUCAUCCUUGUUUUAUGUGGCACCAACCCUUCACACUUCCUUUCCCACAUAUAGUAAAGCAAAGUACUUAAACUAGAGAUAUGAGAAAUAUCAGAUAGAGGAAAAUGCCAAAUGGAGAUGGAAAUGGUUUUUAUAAAACAUCUUUAAAAAAUUUCACGAUUACACUAGACUAAUGAUUUCUUAAAAUUACGUAAUCAUGUCCACUCUACUUUGGUGGCAAGUAAUGAGGGGUUACAUACUAAACUGUGAAAGCUGAUCAGCUCACAUGGCUCCGGUUCAAAAUGCCAAACCACUUAUUACAAAUUAGUCAUGUUUUUGCGGACAUGUACCAUGGUAAUACUGUGGUAUUCUUUGGAGUACCUCAAAAUACCAUGUAAAUACAAUUAUUUAUAUGUUAAAUAAUUAUUUAUAUAUUAUAUGAUGUAAGUAAGAUGUUACCACCAUCAAAUAACAUCACUAUACCCUGG